rnacentral:rRNA from 1 species
AGGGUGUAAACGCUGCAGACUUGGUGUUGGAAGCCCUUUGGGGGCAUUCAGUGCCGGAGAGAAGUUGUUAAGUCUGCUACUUGGGGAGUACGUCCGCAAGGAUGAAACUUAAAGGAAUUGGCGGGGGGAGCACCGCAACGGGAGGAGCGUGCGGUUUAAUUGGAUUCAACACCGUAAAACUCACCAGGGAAGACUGUUACAUGAAGGCCGAGAUGAAGACUCUGCUAGAUUUUCAGAGAGGAGGUGCAUGGCGUCAGUGACU